CAGAGGCUGCUGCAGUCCCAGAGGGAGCAGCUGCAGUCCCAAAAGGAGCUGCAGUCCCAGAAGGAGCAGCUGCAGCUGCUGCAGUCCCAGAAGGAGCAGCUGCUGCCAUCCCAGCAGCUGUUGCAGCCUCCAGGGAGGAGACAGACCUGCAGGACUGCAAAUCCCCGAGGUUUCCUGGUGAAAGAAAAAAGAAGAGCAAUUCCCAAGAGAGAAAUGUUUCAAAGAUCUAAAAGGCUCUACGAGCAGCUCCCCGAGGUGAGGAGGAAGAGGGAGGAGGAGCAGAGGAAGCUGGAGUACAGCUCCCACCGCCUGCAGGCUCGGCUCUACAGAACUGUGAGUGUCCUUCUGCAGGGUGCCAGGCACGGGAGUGGGGACUGGGGACUGGGGAGGGGGAACUGGGCUG
rnacentral:lncRNA from 1 species